GUGAGGAAUAUUGCGCAAUGGAGGCAACUCUGACGCAGCCAUGCCGCGUGCAGGAAGAAGGCGCUACGCGUUGUAAACUGCUUUUAACCGGGAAGAAACCCCAGGACGUGUCCUGGGUUGACGGUACCGGAGGAAUAAGCACCGGCUAACUUCGUGCCAGCAGCCGCGGUAAUACGAAGGGUGCAAGCGUUAUCCGGAUUCAUUGGGUUUAAAGGGUGCGUAGGCGGAGCGUUAAGUCAGUGGUGAAAUCCUGCAGCUUAACUGUAGGCUUGCCAUUGAUACUGGCGCUCUUGAGUGCGCUUGACGUGGGCGGAAUGUGCCGUGUAGCGGUGAAAUGCUUAGAUAUGGCACAGAACACCAAUUGCGAAGGCAGCUCACUAAGGCGAUACUGACGCUGAGGCACGAAAGCGUGGGGAUCGAACAGGAUUAGAAACCCGAGUAGUCC
rnacentral:rRNA from 1 species